UCCAGGCGGGUAACGUCAGAAUGUGGUGACAGCGGAUAAAAACGAAACAUAAUAAGUUUACCACUGCAUUUAUAAUGCAAAGUAGAAGGGAGACUUUCACUUGCUGAACGACAUGAGGUUGAUUAAAUCUGUGCAAGGCGUCUCAUAUAGCCACUUGGCAUAUCCGAAACCGAAUGAAAUGAUAAGCAGCUGGAGUGCAACAGAUUACCAGUCAGAAACUCCUGGUGGAAUUCCGGACCCUUUACCACGAGCGCCUUCGACGCAUUGACCAAUCGGAUGACAGCCGGGAGGAGGCUCUGCAGAGCAAGGUGGGCAUGCUGCAGUCGUUUGUGCGGGACCAGAGUUAGCAGAAUGAGGUUCUGAUCCAGGCGCUGGAGGCUGAGGAGGCGGAGGACCGGGCGGUGGAGGGGAGAACAGUCAGCCUUCACAAAGAGCUGGAGCGGCGCCGAUCCUUGGCUCUGUGCCCGAUGCCAGUGGACCUCGUGGGAACCACGGCAACGUUCUUCCAGACCCC